UACGUAGGGUGCAAGCGUUGUCCGGAAUUAUUGGGCGUAAAGAGCUCGUAGGCGGUUUGUCGCGUCUGCUGUGAAAACUCAGGGCUUAACCCUGAGCCUGCAGUGGGUACGGGCAGACUAGAGUGUGGUAGGGGAGAUCGGAAUUCCUGGUGUAGCGGUGGAAUGCGCAGAUAUCAGGAGGAACACCGAUUGCGAAGGCAGCUCGCUGGGACGUUACUGACGCUGAGACGCGAAAGCGUGGGGAGCAAACAGG
rnacentral:rRNA from 1 species